rnacentral:tRNA from 1 species
GAUAAAGUAAGCUAAAUAUUAAGCUCUUGGGUUCAUACCUCAAAUAUGUUAAACACCUUUAUUA